CACUCUAAAGAGACUGCCGAUGCAAAUCGGAGGAAGGUGGGGAUGACGUCAAAUCAUCAUGCCCUUUAUGUCCUGGGCUACACACGUGCUACAAUGGUCGGUACAACGAGAAGCAAGCCAGCGAUGGCAAGCAAAUACUCUAAAAGACCGAUCCCAGUUCGGAUUGCAGGCUGCAACUCGCCUGCAUGAAGUCGGAGUUGCUAGUAAUCGCGGAUCAGAAUGCCGCGGUGAAUGCGUUCCCGGGUCUU
rnacentral:rRNA from 1 species